CAGAUGUCAUGAAUUGCAUGGCCCCAGGAUGGCCUAAAGGAAAAACUUGUCCCAGUUGCAACAGAAGUUUUGGAAUUUAGUAGGAACCUUUAAUAAGGUUCCUUGUUAAUCCAGCAGCAAAAUCCUUUCCCUCCUGCGCUCUGUGACCAAGACAGAGAAUAAGUAUUCUGGGCUGGAAGACCUACAAAAAGAGGCCUGGUUUUACAGACCCUGGUUUCAGGCCCCUAGAAAGGGAUUGCUUCAAGCUGUAAGAAGUCCAACCACUCCUUGUUUAACCUCUUCACUCUGUCCAGAGCUUUCUGAUGCCUCCGGCUGCUGUGUUCAUGCCCUUCCCCAGCCAAAAUGGAGCCAGGUGGAGAGAAAGUGAGGCUGUAGACCCAGAGAACUCCCUCUUACAGGGUUUGGAGAGCAGAGAAAGUAUCAGAGAAAAGCAGGAGCAUCUCUUCCUUGGUCUGUUUUGCACCCUUUUGCCAGUCUUCAUCACUGGAGAAAUGUGUCUGUAAAACCAGUGUGUCUCCUACUUCAUGCAACAAACAGAAUAUAGAAGACCACUCAUUUGGAUGCCAGACAAACAUGCUAACCCCUUGCAGCUGGGUUGUGAUGAGAAGGAUUUUGCUUGUUAUUUU
rnacentral:lncRNA from 1 species